rnacentral:lncRNA from 1 species
UCUAUUUGUGUGUUCAGUUGAAAAUCCUUUGGCAAUCUCCAUAACUUCUUUAGCUAUAUGAGUUAACCUUUGCUUUUGUCAAUUCUCUGUUUACUCCUAUAUUUUCCAGCUUUUAAGAAGUAUCUUUUCCUGCUGAUUAAUGUUUGUUGGACAGUUGUUUGUUUUUUUAAUUCUUGCAGUUCUUGUUAUUUCUGUUAUUAGUUCUUCUCCCUUCUAAGGUCUUCUCAGUAACCACUUUUCAUCCUAAGAGGUCUGGAGCCAUUUCUUACUGGGUUAUUUUUCCUUCACUGGGGAAACAGGGUUCAAAUCAACUUUUCAACACUGACAGGAUUAAAUUUAGAUUUCUGCUCAGGGCCAUCUCCAGCAUCCAUCUCCCCUUCUACUCUGGCUACGAAGAGACACACUGUCUUACAAAAACAAGUGAAUCCCUUACACUACAGCAAUGAUGGCCCAUCUGCUGGGAGAAAUAUGCUGAUAUAAACAGUGAGUAAUCCCCUGAUAGAGGGCUGAGAGCCUGAGGAACCUCAGUGCAACCCCAAGCCAUUUUUUUGGAAUUAGUUCUACAUUUUAAUAAUGACAUUAAGGGUUCCUGAAUAAAUUUGGCUUGUAAGUGCUGCUGUGGGUGCCC